GUGACUUUAAACAAUUUAGGAGACAUUUGGUUAGCAUUGCUUUGGAAUACAGCUUCUUUAAUUUCUGUGAACCAAGAUUGCCUAUAUUGUUGGUAGUACAGUAACUUGGCAUCAUUUUUUGUUAUCAAUACUUUUAAUGGCAGGCUUAGAUUUAGCCAGUUUGAAUGAAUGACUUAAAGACAGUGCUUUGUAUGUGCGAGUAACUUGGCCUUUGUGUAUGUAGAAAACGUGUUUUAAUGAGAUUUGUAUUUACAAAGCUAUACUGUGUAAACUCCACCCAUAUCUGUGCUGUCUCCUGUCACUUACCGCUAGAUGGCUGCUCUUCCAGGUACCCAGGAUUAUCUCAGAACCUGAUAGAACAGCUUUCUCCUGUUUGCACCCUGGACAUGGAAUAACCUUCAGAACACCCUACAGCUUACUAACUUGUCUCUCUGGGCAAGACAGCGGAGGAGUGUGCUGGUAGAAAUGGGGGAAACACAGGGUGGUCUCAUCAGUAGGGAGGACAGAAGGGCUCAGGAGAGGAAGGAAGCAGAGGAGUCUGUACUGAACCUACUGGGCCUCAUCGGAACUAUCCUCAACCUCAUUGUCAUCCUUAUUGUGUACAUCUACAAUGCUCUGUGAAUGUCUGUAUCUUUCUGUGAUCCACAACACAGCCCUGAAAAUGUCCAUACGGCUGGAUUACUGUUUUCAGCUUCUUUUUUCUCUCUGAGAUCACUGACGCCUCCCUGUGAUCUAUAUCACUCUCUAACCAUCUAUAUGUCCCCUGUGAUUUACAUUAAUAAACACACUGCACUGAUGGUCUUCAAUACACCAUGAAACAUACAUGCCUGUGUUUUCCUAGCCUAUGUACUGAGCAUGACAGGUGUCACGAUUAAAGAGUGCAUUUUACCAUCUGUCAUUCUGAUCAGUCAUAGCGUACUGCAGCUAUGGAGAUCAACAAGGUUGCUUUCCAUUUAAUAUCUUUUUCAAAAGGAUAUAUGGUCUGGCUGGCUUAGACAUUCUGUGAACUAGUUUUUUUUAUUAACUGUGCCUUUUACUACACAUUUGCAGAAGUUCUAUUGUAUGACAUCAUACUGCUCUACCAGAAUGGGACUAGAAAGACUUAUGAAUCUUCAAGAAAUGCUAGGAACACUGUAGUGUACAAAAUAGACUAACCAUAUGUAGAGCAUCUGUUUUUAAUCUGUUUUUAACUGUAUUUUCAGAAAUACUACUAUUUUCUUCCAGUUUUUUCUCUUGUCAGUCUCAGCAGAAAGGUGGGGCUUGAUGUCUGUGAUCACCUACAUUCACAACAGGCUUCCAACCAUAUUCUGAGCUGCUCCUUUUCAUACUCCUACAGCAAAAAGGGCAUGACUGCGUGAGCAUGAUUUUAUUAUUGAAUGAUCUUCAAAACUGGUAAUUGAAUAAUAAAAGAGGAGUAGCCUGGUAGUCCGGUUUCUUGAGGCAUAAGGUCACACACAUAUUGAUUGUUUUAUAGAAAUCAUGGGUGGAUUGAAAAUAAAAAGCCAUGCUAAUAUGUGAAAACGAUACUAAUAUGUCCCUUAUGUACCCUGCCUCUGCCCUCUAGUGAGAGACGUUGCAAUAACACCUGCUUUUGGUGACUACGUGAAGUAUUUGUAAAAUGGCCAAAACUGUUUAUCCUUCAAACUAUUCACAUUCAAAAUGCACCCUCUCACUGAAGACCUUGUGCCAGAUUCAGCAGCUCCCGAUCAAGGCAUGUGGUGUGAGUGUUAAAUACACAGAAGCUCUCGGUUUCUUUCCUCUCUAUAAAUGCUUAAAUGAUGGGUGAAUUAUUUGGCUGUCUUUGUUAAACAGUCAAUUUCAACAGAAUCAAAUGUCCCAUUGUCUGCAAGAAAUGUUGUCAAGGUAACGGCACACAAUGGAUUACCUAUGAUGUGAUUCAGACUGCAGGUGCCUUGGUUAUUCUGGAGAGUUAAAUACUGCAAAUAAACAUCAAGCCAUGAAACACA